rnacentral:rRNA from 1 species
CACCUAUUCUUUUUAAAUCCACUUAUUCUUAUAGUAAGUGCUUGCUUGGUUUUAGGUUGGGGUGACCGCGGAGUAAAAAUGAGCCUCCACGAAAAAAGGCAUAAAAGCCUUAUCAAAGAAUCACACUUCUAUGAAUUAGUAAACUAAUUUUUGAUGAUCCGAUAUUCGAUCAACGAACCAAGUUACCCUGGGGAUAACAGCGCAAUCCACCUCAAGAGCUCCUAUCGACAAGUGGGUUUACGACCUCGAUGUUGGAUCAGGGUACCCCAGUGGUGCAGCAGCUACUAAAGGUUCGUUUGUUCAACGAUUAAAACCCU